UCCGCCCUGCCUGCGCCGAAGGCCUGCGCUGGAUGCGCGGGGUAUUGAUGUAGACGCGGUGGGGCGGC
ncrna:unclassified sequences DTF3800-VIII RNA